rfam:Marine metagenome 1096626104251, whole genome shotgun sequence.
AGGAUAAACACUGGGGGGUAUUAGAAGUUAAGAAAAUUGUAGGCGCUUUAGCAUUUACAGUCUUCGAAUACGGACAAAACCAACCCCAGAAGCAUAGAGUUCAGAUCGUCCACAACCUUACGGUUGGAUCGGAGCUUGAAGUUGGG